GACAGAGGUGCCGAGCGUUAGGCGGAAUCACUGGGCUUAAAGCGUGUGUAGGCGGACCGUUAAGUGUCUUGUGAAAUCCCCCGGCUCAACCGGGGAAUGGCUGGGCAUACUGGCGAUCUUGAGCAGUCUAGGGGCAGAUGGAACAAGUGGUGGAGCGGUGAAAUGCGUAGAUAUCACUUGGAACGCCAAAGGUGAAAACAGUCUGCUGGGGACUUGCUGACGCUGAGACACGAAAGCCAGGGGAGCGAACGGG
rnacentral:rRNA from 1 species